AAAUGCUUUAAGCAUGGUGUACAGGUAUAUGCUGUUCUUUGGGGAUUAGCUGGUGGGGCAAGGAGCAGGGAAGAGGAGAGGUAGGCAGCAGGCAGGAGCUGGGUUUGAGCAGAAGCAUCUGUCUGUGGCCUGAGAGACACAUGGGGAUUAAGGCAGCAUGGGCAUGAUGUGCCAUGCUGGCAGUGGUACAAGGGAGAGGAGAAAGCAGGACCCUUUCUGAGCCUUUAGCUCACAGGUCUGUUCCUGAUGCUGCUGAACCCUAAGAAUUCAGUGUCUGGGUGCUUGCCGGACCCACACCUCCAGGUGAGCACAGACACUCCUAUGUAAUUGCAGGUGUGAUAGGGGCUCUUUCGUGUCUCUACUAAACACAGCUCAGCUGUGGGGGAAACCAGGUUCUCUCUGAGUUACCAGAUUUGCUAACAUUAGCUUGCUGCAAGAUUAUUGCUACCAAGUGAUCAAAGGUACCAGACAGCCUCAGAAGGGAGAGCAAUGGAGAUGAGUGGGAUUGUGAAGUUCUCUUACUGCUGUUAUUGUUAUCCCCAAAAAUGCUCCUGUUUGAAAGAAUGUGCUUCCACUCUCCCCAGUUCCUAGGUUGCCUGAAAAAAAAAAUUGUUGACCAGAGAUGGGGAAGCAUUGGAACAAGCGUGCCCUAGGUUCCAGGUGUGCUCUGAAGAUGUACCUACCUACUUUCAUCAGGAAAUUGUUAUAGAAAUAUGUUUCCUGCUUUGCCAUGGACAAGAAGCUUACAAUUAUGAAACAGAUAAACACAUAGUCAUAUCCAAGGGGACAGAGAAGCAGGAAGGCUUCUACAUUGAGUACCGAGAUAUGAAGAAGAUAGGGUGCCAUUAUGCCGGACUUGCGAAAAGCAAGAACAGAAGAAUAGAGGAAGAAUAGAGGGACACAGUGUCUCCAGUGGUCACAGGUGUGGUUCUGUUGUGCCUAACUGCUGCUCAUUGCCAAACCAUUCUGCAGGCUCCAUCAGCUGCCUCAGUGUCCUGUUGUAAGGGAACUGGGGGAGUUUGAAGAAUGCCAUGACUAGGGGUGAUCACUGCUCAGAGAGGUCAGAAGUAUUUUGUGAUGUUUUGAAUCCCAUACGACUGUACCGGGGGACUGAAGUUUUUUGAUUGUUUUGUGUACUGAAUGGGAAGUGGAUCGUUAGUAUACUGAGCACAGGGACCUCCACCUCUGGCCUGUCCAUCGCUUCCAACAGUGGUUGCCAAAAGCUGUGGUCACCUAACCACCAAAUAUAGUCCUACAUGAAGUUCCCACAAGUGCAUGUCUACACUGUGAAAUCCCCAAGGGUGGGCAGCACUCAGGGCUGUCAUCAGCAAUCAGUCCUUUAGGAUUUCUUCAGGUCUGCUUACCAUCAAAUUUAGCAUUGUGUUGGUGACAUGGACUUGUUACAGCUAGAAGCAAAGAAUGCAGAAAAUAAUGGAUUUUGACUAUAAAGCUUGAAAUUCUCACAGGUUUAGUGUUUUGAGUAAGGCGAUGAUCCAAAGCCUAUAAAGGCAGAAGAAAAACAGCCUUUGGCUUCAGUGGGCAUUGCGUCAGGCCUUCACAUGACUAGCUAUCAGCAGACUUCAUUCUGUAUAAUUCUGUAUGAAAGAAGUGUUAGUUCUCUGGCAUACAGUCAGCCGAGGAGGAAUAAGAUGCUCCGUGUGUUUGCAACUUACCCUUCUGGCGAGCAGACAUCCUCAGCACUGAAAGCAACAGAGAUGUUCCCUCACAGCCGGUGGAAAGGCACCUAGCUGUGCUCUGCAACUGUUCCUUCCCGCUAAGUCAUCACAAGAGAGAGAAUUAGCAGAGACCUCGUUGUCACAUACCCAAAUCUGAAUGCUGGGUUAUAUUUAAACAAGCAGAGGAAAGAGUCGAGAGACUCCAUGACCCUGGUGAACUGGGGAUCAGUUGUUCUAAACUGGAAGGCAAAUGUCAGACGAUCAGAUUACAAGUGUCUACCAGCGUGUUUUCCCUGUGUGGUGGGUCAGCUGGAGUUCAGGCCCUGCAAAUACUGAGGAGGUGGUUCCAGAGCAGUAAGCACUUGAGCAAUUGCUAACACCGGUGGUCUGAACUUGGGCAGGAUUUCAUAACAUGUCUGCAAGCCAAAAGCUUCUUCGACUGCUAAUUUAAUAAAGAAGAGUGAACCACUGGGCUUCGUACAACUGACAGCUUAUUAUCUCGCCUUAUGAAAAUCAUGCCUGACUUCUGGGAGCUGUCUAUCAAAAGGAGAGAAUACACUGAGAAGCUGGUACUUUCUCUCUAAUUAUCUGGGUUGAUCGUUGUUCAAUGAACCCUAUUAACCACUUGAAGUGACUUGCAUCUUCACAGGAAAACCAUCUGGAGUUAGAUGCUCCCCAGUGGUCAGUGCUCAAGCAGAAGAUGGAGUUGCAGUUAAACAGUGCAGACCAGUCCUAUACACGUGUGUUGCUGUCUAAAAUCCUCACCCGUGUGUUUCCUGACUCCUACUCCAAUCCACGCUGAGGCUGAUAGCACAGUUUUACAGUCACUUCUGCAAACUCCCUGAAAAUAUCUCCCCAAGGGACCAGCAUUCAAAUGUCAUUCUACUCAUCUCAGUUCUCUUUCCUGGAUCAAGAAAUCAUACCUGUCAUGAUUUGUGCCAAUAUGUCAGUCUCCAGUGGCUGCGAGCCACAGAUGAUGACACUUAAGUCAAUAUUUUUUUGUGUGACUUAUUUCUGUUUUAUGACAAAAUAAGUUCUGAGGCGUAAUGUUGCUCUUCUUAAAGAGGAUUUAUUUCAAAAUAUGUGCUUUUGCUUUCUCAAAAUUGUGUAAUUUUUAACGGCAGUUCUUGAAGUGUGACCACAACCAGAGGUGAACAGAACCAUUAGACAAUUUUGAAAGCCUCCCAUUAGAUAAGAAGCAUGUGAUGUCUAGAAACAGUACAGCUGUGCUACACCACUGCAUUCGUGUUGUUCUCUGGGAUCACUACAGCAUCCAUAUAUAUAUCCAUUUAUCUGCAACAAUACUUUCUCCAUAUUAUUCCAUCAGCAUCUGUUCUUUGCCACUAUUUGAGACAAUCUGUUGGGCUAGAUGGACUUUUGCUUUAACUAACUGUGGUUGUUCUUACACUAUAUUCCCAGCACCAACAAAAAUAGUUUAUUAUUUGCUGAAAACUGGGCUAGGAAUUAACUUUGUCAAUUUAAAACUCUUAAUAGUCUUUUUUUAUUAUUAUUUUUCUUUAUUAUUUUUUUCCUUUUUGAAGAAGCAGCCUUGAUAGCUUUGUGCUUUGGAGCUAGGACUUGAAUCCGAAGUUAAACAUUAUCUUGGAGCCAGGGAUAAGCUUUACCCCUCCAUUUCUGGGUCAAACUGUUCGCUUCUAGCUCUUGGCAAUCACACUUCGAACGUGCUCAGUAGAAACUUAGUAGGGCUUUGUAUUUUGCCUCUGUGGCAGUGAGUGUACACUGAGAGGACUGAGCAGGAGAUUCCUGGUCUCGGACUGCUCUGGCACACAGCACAGGAACUCAGUGCAGCAGGUCUGUCCUCCCUGGCAGUCCUCUGGGACUGAAGAACUGACUGACGCUACUCUUUUUAGCUGAAGACUACUCACCUUCUUUCUUUUCAAAUGUCACUUCUUUAGGCAAAAGCCAACCAACCAAUCAAACAAACAAAAAAAUGGUUCUUGAUUUUUUUUUCUCCUGUUUUCUGGACUUCUGGUCCAUUUUUGUUGGUCUCCUCUGGCCUCUUGAUAGCUAGUUCACAUCUCUCUUGGAGCGCAGAACACAGAACAGAACACCAUCUUCUGGGUGAGUCGUUAACAGUGGGGAUUAGACCACAAGGACUCUUUCAGUUGUUGUAAAGACUCUUUGGACAUCCCAAUGCAAUGUCGGUGUUUUAUGUAAAAACACGGCUAUGCUGCUCAUGUUCAGCUUGCAUUCCACCAUAGUCAAUACAUUCGUUCUCUUGUGAAUUGUUAACUAGAUAGAUGAGUAUUUCUGCUUAGGCAUGAAAAUCCAUUUUAGAUGACUUCUCUAAAUGUAUCAAGAUAUUUAAAAACAUGAUUCUGUCAUCCAUAAUAUCUGCAGUCCUUCCUGGCUCCCCACAAGUUUAAUAAUCAUACUUCUAUUAAACUUCUCCACACAUCCAUCUUCCAUGCCUUCAAUGAAAACAUCAGAUAAAACUUGAGAUGGGACCAAGCCCCACAGAAUACCUCGCAAAACACAUGUAUUUUGAUAGGCUUUGAUUCAAUUUUGUUGUGGAUACAACUGCCCUACCAGACUUGAUCGCCUGCCCCUUCCUGCAGAAUUUAAAUUUUGAACACAGCUCACUAGCCUGUUUAUGAGGAAAUAGUGCUAAAGGCCUUGCAAAAAGUAUAUAUAAAUAAAAUAAAAUAAAAUAAAAUAAAAUAAAAUAAAAUAAAAUAAAAUAAAAUAAAAUAAAAUAAAAUAGCUAUAUGACAUCUAUAACCAUUACUUUACCCUUCCUUUAAGACUUCUAGAAUGAAGUUAAUUAAGCCCAGGCAAUACAAAAACAUCUAAUUUAUCUGGUUAUUUUCUAAGCAGGUUUCUCAUAUUUCAGGCUGAGAUUUUACCACUUUAUUCCUGGUACUCAUUGCACUGUCUGCUUGCUGUUGACCUUUUCAGUAAAAGGGGGGAAAAAAUACAUUAAACUCUUUGGCUUCCUUAACAUCCUCUGCUGAUAGCAUCCCCUGUCUUUGAGCUGUGGUCCAAACAAACUUUCCUUUUUUUCUUACAACCUUACUCAUGAACUUUCUAUUUUGAUAUGUUUUGCUAGUUGCAUCUUUUGUGCUUUGUCUUUACUGCCUGUGCAGACACGCACACACACGCACCUAUGAAUGGUGUAUUGUGCUGGGUUCUCAAACAGCCGACCUAGUUUCCACUUUACAGAUUUAUCUCCCUCAUGCUUGCGGUCAAUUAAAAUGUUACGAAUUGGCUGACUUGCACUGAAUUUCAUUACUUUCCUCCAAACUGGUAUAGUGUGCGCUUGGUUUCUUAUUAGCAUUUCUUGAAGGAACUGACAGCUCUCCGUAAUUUGUGUUUCCCCUAGAUUUUCCUCGUAUGAGACCUCCCUUACACACUCUCUGAGUUUAUUGAUAUCUGCCUUCUUGAAACCUAGUGCUGUCAGUCAUUGAGUUGGAUUAAGUGGCAGAAGUUGACACUAUGUUCACUGCAGUACUGAUUUCUCUUAAAAGAUAUCAUAUUUGGCAGUACGCUUUGAGUCAUGUUACACUGCCCCCUACCUAGCUGCAAAACUGCUGCUCUGCUGUGGAAGGUAGCGACACUUUUAAUACAUUUUAGCUCUUAAAAUUUAGUAUGCCGUUCAGAAUUUAGCAUGAAGAACAGGAAGAAAAAAGUAACUUAAACAUUCUGUGCAGCAGUAAUAACUGCCCUUGUGAUAAACCUCACUCAACACAGUUCUCUGUGCUGAUGAAACAUUUAGAACACAAAUUCUUUGUAAGGAUAUAUAAUGCAGACCAAGAUAUGCAAUGAUCCUCGCUUCUAAUUUGCUGGCUGAAAACUUUGAAUGUUACGCAACUGUUUCAUGGUGCAGUGGGCAGUGACACCGUCACGGGGGAGACAGAGAAGAAAGCAGUGAACUUUAUCUUAAGUGGAAGUAUGUGACAGACCACAUUGGAACCAUGCCUUGAAACAACACCAGUUUCUACUAGCAUCAAAUGCAAAACCAGUAAGAUUCCAGGUUCUGCUAAAACCCCAUGACCUCCGUCAAUGUUGGUUGAAACCUUGAUGGACCCUCUCACAAGUCAGCUAGUGAUGGUCAAGAAGUCAGACCAGGCCUGGUGCUCACAUUAGAAAGCCUUCUGGUUAUUUAUUUAUUUUUUAACUGACAAUAUUGCAAUGCUGUCACCUCAAGUAGAUUUGACUCCCUAAACAAUGAAAAUGAAUGACCAGUACCCAGUCCCGGCUAUGAUCAAUUUUUAAGACGGUUGCAAAGUAAUAAAAGUGUGAGCAUCAUACUGGCAGCGUGCUGCUGGAAGGCAGAGGAGCAGGCCUUGCCUGUAAUCGGGGUAGGGGUUGGUGUUACGGUGAAAUCCACAUCCCAAUCACUCCAAGUUACAUGCUGGAGUAGAGAGCCAAUGUGCGGUGUCGAUACGCUAUCUAGUGGCUGUGUUGGUGAUGACAUGAGUCCUGGAUUACUGUGCUUGUGAAUUGCUAGUGUGCAUAUAUAUAUAUAAUUCCGUGGUUCUAUUUAUAUAUAU